GGUUAAGCGACUAAGCGUACACGGUGGAUGCCCUGGCAGUCAGAGGCGAUGAAGGGCGUGCUAAUCUGCGAUAAGCGCCGGUAAGGUGAUAUGAACCGUUAUAACCGGCGAUACCCGAAUGGGGAAACCCAGUGUGAUUCGUCACACUAUCAUUAACUGAAUCCAUAGGUUAAUGAGGCGAACCGGGGGAACUGAAACAUCUAAGUACCCCGAGGAAAAGAAAUCAACCGAGAUUCCCCCAGUAGCGGCGAGCGAACGGGGAGGAGCCCAGAGCCUGAAUCAGCAUGUGUGUUAGUGGAAGCGUCUGGAAAGGCGCGCGAUACAGGGUGACAGCCCCGUACACAAAAGCGCAUGUGCUGUGAGCUCGAUGAGUAGGGCGGGACACGUGGUAUCCUGUCUGAAUAUGGGGGGACCAUCCUCCAAGGCUAAAUACUCCUGACUGACCGAUAGUGAACCAGUACCGUGAGGGAAAGGCGAAAAGAACCCCGGCGAGGGGAGUGAAAAAGAACCUGAAAUCGUGUACGUACAAGCAGUGGGAGCACAGGUUUACCUGUGUGACUGCGUACCUUUUGUAUAAUGGGUCAGCGACUUAUAUUCUGUAGCAAGGUUAACCGAAUAGGGGAGCCGGAGGGAAACCGAGUCUUAAUUGGGCGUUAAGUUGCAGGGUAUAGACCCGAAACCCGGUGAUCUAGCCAUGGGCAGGUUGAAGGUUGGGUAACACUAACUGGAGGACCGAACCGACUAAUGUUGAAAAAUUAGCGGAUGACCUGUGGCUGGGGGUGAAAGGCCAAUCAAACCGGGAGAUAGCUGGUUCUCCCCGAAAGCUAUUUAGGUAGCGCCUCGUGAAUUCAUCUCCGGGGGUAGAGCACUGUUUCGGCUAGGGGGCCAUCCCGGCUUACCAACCCGAUGCAAACUGCGAAUACCGGAGAAUGUUAUCACGGGAGACACACGGCGGGUGCUAACGUCCGUCGUGAAGAGGGAAACAACCCAGACCGCCAGCUAAGGUCCCAAAGUCAUGGUUAAGUGGGAAACGAUGUGGGAAGGCCCAGACAGCCAGGAUGUUGGCUUAGAAGCAGCCAUCAUUUAAAGAAAGCGUAAUAGCUCACUGGUCGAGUCGGCCUGCGCGGAAGAUGUAACGGGGCUAAACCAUGCACCGAAGCUGCGGCAGCGACGCUUAUGCGUUGUUGGGUAGGGGAGCGUUCUGUAAGCCUGUGAAGGUGGCCUGUGAGGGUUGCUGGAGGUAUCAGAAGUGCGAAUGCUGACAUAAGUAACGAUAAAGCGGGUGAAAAGCCCGCUCGCCGGAAGACCAAGGGUUCCUGUCCAACGUUAAUCGGGGCAGGGUGAGUCGACCCCUAAGGCGAGGCCGAAAGGCGUAGUCGAUGGGAAACGGGUUAAUAUUCCCGUACUUGGUGUUACUGCGAAGGGGGGACGGAGAAGGCUAUGUUGGCCGGGCGACGGUUGCCCCGGUUUAAGCGUGUAGGUGUGUGUUCCAGGUAAAUCCGGUUCACUUUAACACUGAGGCGUGAUGACGAGGCACUACGGUGCUGAAGUAACAAAUGCCCUGCUUCCAGGAAAAGCCUCUAAGCAUCAGGUAACAUCAAAUCGUACCCCAAACCGACACAGGUGGUCAGGUAGAGAAUACCAAGGCGCUUGAGAGAACUCGGGUGAAGGAACUAGGCAAAAUGGUGCCGUAACUUCGGGAGAAGGCACGCUGACACGUAGGUGAAGUGAUUUACUCACGGAGCUGAAGUCAGUCGAAGAUACCAGCUGGCUGCAACUGUUUAUUAAAAACACAGCACUGUGCAAACACGAAAGUGGACGUAUACGGUGUGACGCCUGCCCGGUGCCGGAAGGUUAAUUGAUGGGGUCAGCGCAAGCGAAGCUCCUGAUCGAAGCCCCGGUAAACGGCGGCCGUAACUAUAACGGUCCUAAGGUAGCGAAAUUCCUUGUCGGGUAAGUUCCGACCUGCACGAAUGGCGUAAUGAUGGCCAGGCUGUCUCCACCCGAGACUCAGUGAAAUUGAACUCGCUGUGAAGAUGCAGUGUACCCGCGGCAAGACGGAAAGACCCCGUGAACCUUUACUAUAGCUUGACACUGAACAUUGAGCCUUGAUGUGUAGGAUAGGUGGGAGGCUUUGAAGUGUGGACGCCAGUCUGCAUGGAGCCGACCUUGAAAUACCACCCUUUAAUGUUUGAUGUUCUAACGUGGACCCGUUACCCGGGUUGCGGACAGUGUCUGGUGGGUAGUUUGACUGGGGCGGUCUCCUCCUAAAGAGUAACGGAGGAGCACGAAGGUUGGCUAAUCCUGGUCGGACAUCAGGAGGUUAGUGCAAUGGCAUAAGCCAGCUUGACUGCGAGCGUGACGGCGCGAGCAGGUGCGAAAGCAGGUCAUAGUGAUCCGGUGGUUCUGAAUGGAAGGGCCAUCGCUCAACGGAUAAAAGGUACUCCGGGGAUAACAGGCUGAUACCGCCCAAGAGUUCAUAUCGACGGCGGUGUUUGGCACCUCGAUGUCGGCUCAUCACAUCCUGGGGCUGAAGUAGGUCCCAAGGGUAUGGCUGUUCGCCAUUUAAAGUGGUACGCGAGCUGGGUUUAGAACGUCGUGAGACAGUUCGGUCCCUAUCUGCCGUGGGCGCUGGAGAACUGAGGGGGGCUGCUCCUAGUACGAGAGGACCGGAGUGGACGCAUCACUGGUGUUCGGGUUGUCAUGCCAAUGGCACUGCCCGGUAGCUAAAUGCGGAAGAGAUAAGUGCUGAAAGCAUCUAAGCACGAAACUUGCCCCGAGAUGAGUUCUCCCUGAGACUUAAAGUCUCCUGAAGGAACGUUGAAGACGACGACGUUGAUAGGCCGGGUGUGUAAGCGCAGCGAUGCGUUGAGCUAACCGGUACUAAUGAACCGUGAGGCUUAACCCU
rnacentral:rRNA from 1 species